rnacentral:tRNA from 1 species
GUUUCCGUAGUGUAGCGGUUAUCACGUCUGCUUCACAAGUAGAAGGUCCCCGGUUCGAUCCCGGGCGGGAACA